GUACGUCACUUCCUGCGCGCCAGAUACGUCGUAUACGAAAUAUCCUCUUGCGAGUUGUAAUUUCCCACCACGAUUUCAGAAAGUUUCUUAUUAACUUUAUAAACCUCUUAGAGGAUGUUCUUACGUUAUAUUUUGAUUACCGUACCCCCAAGCAAACCUUCACAUAAUUGAAGGUAACGCAAACUGAUAUAUUGAGACAUCUUUUUACGCAUUGGCCAUCGUCAUUAGCAGCUAACGUUAGCUUGUGUGACAGUCCAGAUGUGGCCACUCGCUCGCUGCUGAGGGAAGUCGGGUGGAAGUUAUGUCUACGUCGCUGACAGCCGAGCAGCAGCGACGGAUUGAGGAGAACAGACGGAAAGCUUUGGAGAGGAGAGCCCAGAGGCUCGGACAGAAUGCUACUGGCCCACCGGACCGAAGCACUACAACCGCACCGAAUCCGUUUGCUCCGCCCUUGAAGCGAGAAGCACACUUCGUCGCUAAGCACAAGGACACGACUGUUGACAAUGGAAUCUCAUCGUCCACACUGACAUCUUCCAGAGAUGCACCUCCUCCCACCAAGCGCCAACACGUCAACCGACCUCCGAUGAGCACUGACAGCGGCAUUACUAGUGUGACUCCUGUUCAGCUCAGUUUUAAGCAGCCCUCUACGAGCAGUGCAGCACCGGCCUCCUUUUACAGACAACCAAACAAACCCACCUCAGACUCUCCAACUUUAAAGGCUGUGCCAGCUAAGAAGCCUGCAAUAUCCACCUGGGGCAAAUGUGUGCCACACACUGACGGACGCUUCAGGGUGGAGGUGGCCUACCACGCAGAACUCAUUGCUGCUUUUAAAUCCAUCCCAUCCAAGAUAUACGACCCUGCCAACAAAAUGUGGAACUUCAGCAUGGAGGACUACCAACAGCUAAUGACCCAAGUGGCCUCCAUCGCGUCUGUGUCUUUGAGGCCCCUGGAGGGCGCCGAGGCAUUGGACAUGGCGGCGGUGACCAGCCGAGCUCAAGACGGCUUUGCGCUGACCGCUCUGCUGAAGCUCUGCAACGGCUGGCAGAAACCGGGGGCCGACAUUCAGGGCCAGUGUGUCCUGGUGUCGCCCUCCAGAUUUGAGCUCGAUAUCGCUUACCAUGUCGAUGUAAUCGCAGCAUCCAAGCAGAUGCCGACAAAGUCUUACGAUAUGAAAACAAGGAAGUGGAGCUUUUCACUGGAGGACUACAAGCGACUGAUGGAGCUCCUCGGGGGCAUAGCAGCCGUGGAGGUGGAGCCUCUUCCCCGGGCGGUGAUCCAGGCUUUUUCUGCAAGGUUUGAGGGGCCACGAGCCAGGAACUUAGACGUCCCUCAGGCUGACCUGUCCUGCGUUGACCCCAUGAUCUCAAGCAGCCUCAUGCCCUUCCAGAUGGAAGGAGUCAACUAUGCGGUGUCCAAGCAAGGUCGCCUGCUCCUGGCCGACGACAUGGGCCUGGGAAAGACCGUGCAGGCCAUCUGCAUCGCUGCCUACUACCGGAAGGAGUGGCCUGUACUGGUGGUGGCGCCGUCUUCUGUGCGCUUCACCUGGGCUGUGGCUUUCCGUCACUGGCUUCCGUCUCUGAGUCCCGACAGUGUCAAUGUGGUGGUGAAGGCAAAAGACAACCUGCGGGCAGGGCUUGUCAACAUCAUCAGCUACGACCUCCUGAGCAGGAUGGACAAACAACUGCUUGGGAAUCACUUUGACGUCCUCAUCAUGGAUGAGUCUCACUUUCUAAAGAAUAUAAAGACGGCUCGUUGUAAAGCAGCAUUGCCAUUAUUGAAGACAGCCAAGAGGGUCAUCCUCCUGUCAGGGACCCCUGCCAUGUCCAGACCCUGUGAGCUCUACACACAGAUCCUGGCUGUCCGACCCACGCUAUUCCCUCGCUUCCAUGAGUUUGGCUUGCGCUAUUGCGAUGCCAAACAGCAAACCUGGGGUUGGGAUUACUCGGGCUCUUCCAAUCUGGGCGAGUUAAAGCUGCUACUGGCCGAGAGUCUCAUGCUGCGGCGCCUCAAAUCCGACGUCCUCUCUCAGCUUCCUUCCAAACAGCGCAAGGUUGUUACGGUGACCAUCAACGGGGUCAGCAACCGAACUAAAGCGGCCCUGUCGGCCGCUGCCGCGGUGUUAACCAGGGUGCAUCAAAAUAAAAAGAGUGAAAAAGAAGCUCUUCUCAUUUUUUACAACCACACAGCUGAAGCCAAGCUGCAAGCCAUUACGGAGUACAUCACAGACAUGCUGGAAUGUGGGCGAGAGAAGUUCCUGGUGUUUGCCCAUCACAAGUUGGUCCUGGAUCACAUCACGAGUGAACUUGCUAAAAAGGAUGUCUCGUUUAUUCGUAUCGACGGCUCUACGCCGUCGGUUGAGCGCCAGCAUCUUUGCGACAGGUUUCAGUUUUCGGGCAAAACGUGCGUGGCCGUCUUGUCCAUCACCGCCGCCAACACGGGCCUGACGUUGCACGCCGCCGAUCUGGUCAUCUUCGCCGAAUUGUUCUGGAACCCCGGAGUUCUUAUCCAGGCUGAAGACCGGGUCCAUCGCAUUGGUCAAACAAACAACGUGAACAUUCACUACUUGGUCGCCCAAGGAACAGCUGAUGACCACCUGUGGCCAAUGAUCCAAGGAAAAAUGAAGGUGUUGGAGCAGGUGGGGCUGUCCGAGUCAGACCUCUCAGCCAAUGCAGUGACAGGUCAAUUCCACUCUAAGGAUCUCAAUCAAAGGAGCAUCAUGGAGAUGUUCGAGAGGUCUUUCAAUGAGGAUGACGAUGACGUGGAUGCAUGAGGCCAAUGAGCUGGAUCUCUUCCUGGGCAUGCUUCGGAUUCGAGGAGCCGUGCACGGAGUUACGGAGGACGUCGGAACCCAAGCGGGCCCUCAGAGAGUCAGGGAACUCCCUCUUUGCCCAGUCGGGAUCUGUGGGACCCAUGGCGGCCCUCCACUCCUCCACUCCAUUUUCCUUUUCCAGGACCAUCAUCACACAGGGACCACUGACACGAGAAGACACGGUGUUCAAUUAUGUAAUAUUUAGACCAAAUAACACGACUGAUCGAGUCUUCCUAUGACUUGGAAAUCUAGAAAAUGUGGACGACAGUCUGAAACACGAUCAGACAGAGGCACUUCUCCAAAAAUGCCGACGUCCCUAGUCUUAUGUCAAAGCUAGAAGCCAGUGUUUGCUGCAUGGGGAAGAAGAAGCUGAUUUCCCUUGAGGCCUCCUCAGUAGACCCACUUCCAUGCAGCUGGUUGACCGGAUCUCCUUCUACAUAAUAACGGGCCCUGAGACUACAAGUCACACAGGAGGCAGCAUCACGUUUACAAUCAAGUCAUUGUUUGUUACAGCACAAGGAAGACAUUGCAGACAUUGGGAUCUCACCAUUCAGGCUCCUCCUCAGCGGCUUUUUUGAGAUCAGAAGGGCCAAGCAUGUUCUUCCAGUGUUGUACAGCAUCUUCUCUGGUAAGCACCAAAGCAAGCACCCGCCCUCUAUGGACAUGCACGCAGUGAGUCAACACUUUAUCAAUAUUGGCCACCUUUGUGCUCCAGUUACCUCGUCAUGCUUUGUAGCAGUGCAGGGAAGUAGUCGUCCUCGUUGCAGUGGACGUAAAACUCUUUAACUUGCUCUUCUGUCAACAUCACUUCUCUUUGGAGUGACACUUUGAAGCCUGACUUGUUCAUAUGGGUCAGAAUUUCCUCUAAAGAGACCACACAUAUCAAUUAUGUUCUUGUAUCAGUGCUGUAAAGACAAAAGAUGUUCAUGUUUUGAACAGCAAAAAAAGUUUCACUUAAAACCAUCGGCCAUUUUCAA